CGUGUAGGCGGUUUGUCAAGCCUGAUGUGAAAGACCCCGGCUUAACCGGGGGAGCGCGUUGGGAACUGACAGACUAGAGUAUAGGAGGGGUAGUUGAAUUCCAGGUGUAGGGGUGAAAUCUGUAGAUAUCUGGGAGAACACCGGUGGCGAAGGCGAACUACUGGCCAUAUACUGACGCUGAGGCGCGAAAGUGUGGGGAGCGAACA
rnacentral:rRNA from 1 species